CGCCAAGUAGCUAGCCCGCCUAAUCAAGCACAACAACUCACUAUUAAUACCCCCAAACACACCAAAAUUUAUGUAAACAAACCAUUUUUCCCCCCUAGUAUGGGAGACAGAAAAGGGACUGUGGCGCUAUAGAAAAAGUACCGUAAGGGAACGCUGAAAGAGAAGUGAAAGAAACCAGUUAAGCCUAAGAAAGCAGAGACUAAACCUCGUACCUUUUGCAUCAUGAUUUAGUUAGUAAGACCCAAGCAAAGAGCACUUUAGUUUGAUUCCCCGAAACUAAGUGAGCUACUCCAAGACAGCCUAUUAUAGGGCACACCCGUCUCUGUGGCAAAAGAGUGGGAAGAGCUUUGAGUAGAGGUGACAGACCUAUCGAACUUAGUUAUAGCUGGUUGCCUGAGAAAUGGAUAAGAGUUCAGCCUCCCAGCUUCUUCCUUGAAUACCCCUUUAUUAAAGACACCCCCAAACAUUCAAAGAAACCGUGAGAGUUAUUCAGAGGAGGUACAGCUCCUUUGAAACAAGACACAACUUUUACAGGCGGAUAAAGAUCAUAAUAAACUAAAGGUAAAAUGUUCUGGUGGGCCUAAAAGCAGCCACCCCAAUAGAAAGCGUUAAAGCUCAGACAUACUACUAUACCCCUCCGAUCUCGAUAAUUUAAUCUUAACCCCCUAAUCCUACCAGGCCGCUCCAUGCCAACAUGGAAGUGACCAUGCUAAUAUGAGUAAUAAGAGAGCUCAGCCUCUCUCCUUGCACACGUGUAAAUCGGAACAGACCCCCUACCGAACUUUAACGGCCCCAAACAAAGAGGGUCCUGAACAACAGACCAGACAACCAGAAAAACAUUCAACAAAACCACCGUUAACCCCACACUGGUGUGCCCCCAAGGAAAGACUAAAAGAAAAAGAAGGAACUCGGCAAACAUGAAGCCUCGCCUGUUUACCAAAAACAUCGCCUCUUGCAAAACCAAAAAAUAAGAGGUCCCGCCUGCCCUGUGACUAUAUGUUUAACGGCCGCGGUAUUUUAACCGUGCGAAGGUAGCGCAAUCACUUGUCUCUUAAAUGGGGACCUGUAUGAAUGGCAUAACGAGGGCUUGACUGUCUCCUUUUUCAAGUCAAUGAAAUUGAUCUUCCCGUGCAGAAGCGGGAAUAAAGCCAUAAGACGAGAAGACCCUAUGGAGCUUUAGACACAAAGGCAGAUCCUGUCAAACACCCCUAAACAAAGGACUGAACCAAAAGAAGCCUGCCCUAAUGUCUUCGGUUGGGGCGACCGCGGGGAAACAAAAACCCCCCACGUGGAACGGGAGAACCCCAUCUUCCAUCUCCUAAAACUAAGAGCCCCCGCUCUAGUUAACAGAAUUUCUGACCAAAAAUGAUCCGGCACUGCCGAUCAACGGACCAAGUUACCCUAGGGAUAACAGCGCAAUCCCCUUUUAGAGCCCGUAUCAACAAGGGGGUUUACGACCUCGAUGUUGGAUCAGGACAUCCUAAUGGUGCAGCCGCUAUUAAGGGUUCGUUUGUUCAACGAUUAAAGUCCUACGUGAUCUGAGUUCAGACCGGAGUAAUCCAGGUCAGUUUCUAUCUAUGACGUGAUCUUUUCUAGUACGAAAGGACCGAAAAGAAAAGGCCCAUGCUUAAAGUACGCCUUACCCUUACCUAAUGAAAACAACUCAAAUAGGCAAAAGGGCAUGCCCCUAUGCCGAAGAAAACGGCAU
rnacentral:rRNA from 1 species